AGGGGUAUAGCUUAGUCUGGACUAAAGCGGUGGUCUCCAAAACCAUGAUCGGGAGUUCAAAUCUCUCUACCUCUGC
rnacentral:tRNA from 1 species